UGGAAACAUUUCUUCCCUGGGA
rnacentral:miRNA from 1 species